rnacentral:rRNA from 1 species
CUCCGGUGAUCCCCGCCGGACCCGACUGCUAUCAGAGUGGGACUAAGCCAUGCGAGUCAACAUAGCAAUAUGUGGCAUACGGCUCAGUAACACGUAGUCAACAUGCCCAGGGGACGUGGAUAACCUCGGGAAACUGAGGAUAAACCGCGAUAAGUCACUACUUCUGGAAUGGGUAAUGACUCAAAUCUACAUGGCCCCUGGAUUGGACUGCGGCCGAUCAGGCUGUUGGUGAGGUAAUGGCCCACCAAACCUGUAACCGGUACGGGCUCUGAGAGGAGGAGCCCGGAGAUGGGCACUGAGACAAGGGCCCAGGCCCUAUGGGGCGCAGCAGGCGCGAAACCUCUGCAAUAGGCGAAAGCCUGACAGGGUUACUCUGAGUGAUUUCCGUUAAGGAGAUCUUUUGGCACCUCUAAAAAUGGUGCAGAAUAAGGGGUGGGCAAGUCUGGUGUCAGCCGCCGCGGUAAUACCAGCACCCCGAGUGGUCGGGACGUUUAUUGGGCCUAAAGCAUCCGUAGCCGGUUCUACAAGUCUUCCGUUAAAUCCACCUGCUUAACAGAUGGGCUGCGGAAGAUACUAUAGAGCUAGGAGGCGGGAGAGGCAAGCGGUACUCGAUGGGUAGGGGUAAAAUCCGUUGAUCCAUUGAAGACCACCAGUGGCGAAGGCGGCUUGCCAGAACGCGCUCGACGGUGAGGGAUGAAAGCUGGGGGAGCAAACCGGAUUAGAUACCCGGGUAGUCCCAGCUGUAAACGAUGCAGACUCGGUGAUGAGUUGGCUUAUUGCUAACUCAGUGCCGCAGGGAAGCCGUUAAGUUUGCCGCCUGGGGAGUACGGUCGCAAGACUGAAACUUAAAGGAAUUGGCGGGGGAGCA